rnacentral:snRNA from 1 species
GUGCUCACUUCAGCAGCACAUGUACUAAAAUUGGAAUGAUAAAGAGAAGAUUAGCAUGAUCCCUGGGCAAGGAUGACAUGCACAUUUGUGAAGUAUUCCAUACGGUA